UAGGGAAUCUUCCACAAUGGACGCAAGUCUGAUGGAGCAACGCCGCGUGAGUGAAGAAGGCUUUCGGGUCGUAAAACUCUGUUAUUGAAGAAGAACGUGCGUGACAGUAACUGGUCAUGCAGUGACGGUAUUCAAUCAGAAAGUCACGGCUAACUACGUGCCAGCAGCCGCGGUAAUACGUAGGUGGCAAGCGUUGUCCGGAUUUAUUGGGCGUAAAGCGAGUGCAGGCGGUCUUUUAAGUCUGAUGUGAAAAGCCUUCGGCUUAACCGAAGAAGGGCAUCGGAAACUGGGAGACUUGAGUGCAGAAGAGGAGAGUGGAACUCCAUGUGUAGCGGUGAAAUGCGUAGAUAUAUGGAAGAACACCAGUGGCGAAGGCGGCUCUCUGGUCUGUAACUGACGCUGAGGCUCGAAAGCGUGGGUAGCAAACAGGAUUAGAUACC
rnacentral:rRNA from 1 species